rnacentral:rRNA from 1 species
GAUGAACGCUGGCGGCGUGCCUAAUACAUGCAAGUCGAGCGAACAGACGAGGAGCUUGCUCCUUUGACGUUAGCGGCGGACGGGUGAGUAACACGUGGGUAACCUACCUAUAAGACUGGGAUUACUUCGGGAAACCGGAGCUAAUACCGGAUAAUAUUUCGAACCGCAUGGUUCGAUAGUGAAAGAUGGCUUUGCUAUCACUUAUAGAUGGACCUGCGCCGUAUUAGCUAGUUGGUAAGGUAACGGCUUACCAAGGCAACGAUACGUAGCCGACCUGAGAGGGUGAUCGGCCACACUGGAACUGAGACACGGUCCAGACUCCUACGGGAGGCAGCAGUAGGGAAUCUUCCGCAAUGGGCGAAAGCCUGACGGAGCAACGCCGCGUGAGUGAUGAAGGUCUUCGGAUCGUAAAACUCUGUUAUUAGGGAAGAACAAACGUGUAAGUAACUGUGCACGUCUUGACGGUACCUAAUCAGAAAGCCACGGCUAACUACGUG